GGUGGCGAGUGGCGAACGGGUGAGUAAUGCGUCGGAACGUACCGAGUAAUGGGGGAUAACGCACCGAAAGGUGUGCUAAUACCGCAUACGCCCUGAGGGGGAAAGUGGGGGAUCGUAAGACCUCACGUUAUUCGAGCGGCCGACGUCUGAUUAGCUAGUUGGUGGGGUAAUGGCUCACCAAGGCGACGAUCAGUAGCGGGUCUGAGAGGAUGAUCCGCCACACUGGGACUGAGACACGGCCCAGACUCCUACGGGAGGCAGCAGUGGGGAAUUUUGGACAAUGGGGGCAACCCUGAUCCAGCCAUUCCGCGUGAGUGAAGAAGGCCUUCGGGUUGUAAAGCUCUUUCAGCUGGAACGAAACGGUGUGCUCUAACAUAGCGCGCUAAUGACGGUACCAGCAGAAGAAGCACCGGCUAACUACGUGCCAGCAGCCGCGGUAAUACGUAGGGUGCGAGCGUUAAUCGGAAUUACUGGGCGUAAAGCGUGCGCAGGCGGAUUGUUAAGCAAGAUGUGAAAUCCCCGGGCUUAACCUGGGAAUGGCAUUUUGAACUGGCAGUCUAGAGUGUGUCAGAGGGGGGGGUGGAAUUCCACGUGUAGCAGUGAAAUGCGUAGAGAUGUGG
rnacentral:rRNA from 1 species